AUGUUUUCUGUAGCUCUGCUGCUGCUGUUGGCAGCUGGAUCCUGUGUGAAGUGUGAACAGUUGACACAGCCAGCCACUGUGACUGUGCAGCCAGGUCAACGUCUCACCAUCACCUGUCAGGUCUCUUAUUCUCUUGGCUACUACACAGCUUGGAUCAGACAGCCUGCAGGGAAAGGACUGGAGUGGAUUGGAAUGAGAAAUACUGGAGGCUCUCACUACAAAGAUUCACUAAAGAACAAAUUCAGUAUCGACUUAGACUCUUCCAGCAACAGAGUGACUCUAAAUGGACAGAAUGUGCAGCCUGAAGACACUGCUGUGUAUUACUGUGCCAGAACUCUGACAGAAUCUGAACCAGCAGUUAAAAGGCCUGGAGAAUCCCACAGACUGACCUGUACAGGCUCUGGAUUCACAUUCAGCAGCUACCAUAUGAACUGGGUCAGACAGGCUCCUGGCAAAGGACUGGAGUGGAUCGCUUUUGUGCACACAGGCAGUUCUUAUAAAUAUUACUCCGGGUCAGUCCAGGGCAGAUUCACCGUCUCCAGAGAUGACUCCAGCAGUAAAGUCUAUCUACAGAUGAACAGUCUGAAGACCGAGGACACAGCAGUGUAUUACUGUGCCAGAGAGUCACAGUGA